AUGAGCUACCACAGUUAAGAACUACCACCCUAAGUGGGUAAAUAGAAGCCGCCAGAUUCUUAAAAACCCAGGGAGGAACUCUCAGCAUUGCAGUGAUGACCUCUGUAACCAAGAGUACACAAAUAAAGAACGAUAAAGUAAAUGAAGCGCCAUUAGCACUGAAAACCAGUGAGGUGAGGAGGAUCCAUUCUACAGUUGGAAGGUCUUAAUCACAACUGUGUCAUGUUUACAGUUAUUUUUGCAAGAUGCGGCACAGGACACCCUAUGGGCAGCUUAUGCUGGCACCCUAGAGGGCAAUAUCCCGGCAGAUGGCUUCUCAAUGAAUUCUUCAGCAUGGCGUCUUCUCAGGGAUGGCUUCCCUACACCAGAGGACAGAGUCUUCACAGCACUACUGCAAGGUCUCCACCAUCCAGUGGGUCAUGGCUGCGGAGUCUCCAGUGAAGUCUGAAUCUCAUGGGCAGGGGAGAGGAGGGUAGGGUCUUCCAAAGGUGUUUCUUCCUUGGACGCUCCACCUCAGCCCUAGAUGGGGGGCUGCUCCCCAUGUCUGCUAUUACUCUUCCUUUCCUUAUGUUUUCUUUACUCCUUAGUAGGUUAUAGUUAAUACUGUUAUAGUUAAUACUUCUUUAUAUUAAACUUCCUUUGUUUCCA